rnacentral:misc_RNA from 1 species
GCAAACUUGGUCAUUUAGAGGAAGUAAAAGUCGUAACAAGGUUUCCGUAGGUGAACCUGCGGAAGGAUCAUUAUUGAGUUAUUGAGAGUAGCUUUGGUGUGCAAACACUAAACUGCUCUUACACUCUUUCACCCUUUGUUAUUUUUUCUUAGUUGCUUUGGCAGGACUUUAAUGUUCUGCCAGAGGAUACAUACCAAACCAUUUUGUUAACCAAUAAUUGGGAAACUUGUAGUCUGAUUUAGUUACUUUAAUAGUAUACAAAACUUUCAACAACGGAUCUCUUGGUUCUGGCAUCGAUGAAGAACGCAGC